CGCCAUGUACGAGAUAACGGAGAAAACCACUUUCGCUAAUAGACUGCCUAAUAAAUUCAUUUAUGCCAACUGCAUUUAUAUUCACAC